rnacentral:rRNA from 1 species
UACGUAGGGUGCGAGCGUUUAAUCGGGAAUUACUGGGCGUAAAGCGUGCGCAGGCGGUUCGUUGUGUCGGCGGUGAAAGCCCCGGGCUUAACCUGGGAAUGGCCGUUGAAACUGGCGAACUGGAGUGUGGCAGAGGGGGGGUGGAAUUCCGCGUGUAGCAGUGAAAUGCGUAGAGAUGCGGAGGAACACCGAUGGCGAAGGCAGCCCCCUGGGCUAACACUGACGCUCAGGCACGAAAGCGUGGGGAGCAAACAGG